CCCGCUGAACUUAAGCAUAUCAAUAAGCGGAGGAAAAGAAACCAACAGGGAUUGCCUCAGUAACGGCGAGUGAAGCGGCAACAGCUCAAAUUUGAAAUCUGGCUCUCUUAGGGCCCGAAUUGUAAUUUGUAGAGGAUGUUUCGGUAUUGCCACUAAUUUAAGUCCCUUGGAACAGGGUGUCAUAGAGGGUGAGAGUCCCGUAUGUGAUUAGUUGUCUUUGCCAUGUGAAACUCCUUCGACGAGUCGAGUUGUUUGGGAAUGCAGCUCUAAUUGGGAGGUAAAUUUCUUCUAAAGCUAAAUACUGGCCAGAGACCGAUAGCGCACAAGUAGAGUGAUCGAAAGAUGAAAAGCACUUUGGAAAGAGAGUUAAACAGUACGUGAAAUUGUUGAAAGGGAAGCGCUUGCAAUCAGACCUGCUUGCAGUUAUUCAUCUAAGCCUUUGGGUUUAGUGCAUUUUUCUGUAAGUCAGGCCAGUAUCAGUUCAGGCGGUUGGAUAAAGAAUUCAGGAAUGUAGCUCCUUUCGGGGAGUGUUAUAGCCUGUUUUGUAAUGCAACCAGCCUGGAUUGAGGACUGCGCUUCGGCUAGGAUACUGGCGUAAUGGUUGUAAGCGGCCCGUCUUGAAACACGG
rnacentral:rRNA from 1 species